UAAUAAGUGUUUCAUGGCACUUUUUAAAUCCAUAUCCACCUUGUGUGCAAUGUCAGUCGGUUUUCUUUUUCGUCAAGAAAAAAGGGUCGACCAAACAUCAACUUAUUCUAAUUGAACUUUUGUCUGAAAACUAUUAUGAAUAAACUAAUUCAAAAUA
rnacentral:misc_RNA from 1 species